CUCAAUAUCAGGAUUGCAAUCGACGUUUCUUCAGGGUUGGUUUCUACGUCACCGCACUUCUAAUUUCUCGAAAGUAUCAUGUCAAGGAACGCUAUUACCUAUGAAGAAGGUACACAAAUUAAAUCUCUUCCCAAAAACCCUAGUUUGCCUCUCCCCGCAGAUGAUCAUGAUGGAGAGCCAGUUCAUGGAGAUCCUGUCGAGAACCCUGACAACGUUAAUGAAUACGAAAAAGAGGAGGAGGAUAUGCCUGAUGAUGUAGGCUAUGAGGAAGAAUUGGCUGUGGAGGAAGAUGUAGUUGAGAGCGAGGAUGAACUGGCAGAUUUCAUCGUAGAUGAAGAUGAGAUUGGUCAUCUUAGGAAGAGAGACUAUAAGAAAAAGAAAUAUAUGGAAGACGCUAACGAAAUAUUUGGCGGCGAUGUCCAAAGGCUUAGAAGAGUGAAGAUAUCUGAAGAAAGCACUGGAAGCCCUCCGGUAGAUGAACGUAGCAUUGACGAAGAGAGCAGUUGGAAGUAGAGGAAAUGAUAAGAAGGACGAAGCAAUUUGUGUUGUGGAGAGAGGGACCAAGAUGAUUUCUAGAUGAGAUAUGUAGAGCAAUAAUGAACCAAAGAGAGACUCGUGGAAAAUUUGUAUGUUUAAUUGCAUAAGUAUCACUAAAAGUUGACUUUGUCGACUCACAAAGACUUUUAUGGAAAAAUAUGUCACCGAGGAAACAUAAUGUGCAUAAGUUGAAGUUUAUUGUAAAGCCCCACCAUUCUAUCUGUGAACAGUCCGUUUUGGCUUAUAUCCUAUCCUAAGAAGGAAAAGGCAAGGAAGACUGGAAGAGCAUAAGCAAUCUCGAGGAAGCAGUGACAAAGAAAAAAAAGGAAGCAGUGAUCAUAAUCAAUUUCACACUUGAAAUUUCACAGCAAAGAAAUCAAUCUUCUUUUGAUCAAAAAAAAAAAGAAAAAAAAAAGAAAUCAAUCUUCUCUGCAAGCUUUAUAAAUUUUUUAUCCUCCUAGUCUUGCCGAUCUCUCUUUCAAAACAUUGGGAUUUGUAUUUAGCAAACAAAAAAACAUUUGGGAUUUGUUUGGUUUUCAUAUGAUCCAAGCUUAAGUACAUUCUUCGUAAAAGCCUUUUAGUGCUUGAAGGCGGAACAUAACGUUAAUUUGAUAACGAACAUUAAAAAGAGUUGCAUACCAAUCUAUAUGUUUCAGAUCCUAAGUAUGAUUUUGUGAUAAGUUUUAACUCUUUCACUAAUCUACAACAUGACUGUAUGAUCAUGCAUGAGUAUAAAUUCCCACCUUGACCAAAAUUAAUACAAGUUGCAUAAACCUUUUUGAUCGACCUCGUCGGUAAUUGUUAUUUCAUGAAUUACGUAGUAGAUGGGGAAUAUUUUACCAUACAUACAUUACAAAUAUAAUCUAAUACUACGCAAAGAUAAUCACACAAACACAACAUAAAAUGGAUAUGAACAGUGGCGUGCCUAGGGUAAGUGGGGCUCAAGUCAAAUUUUAAAACAAUAUAGUAUUUUUAACAUAUUUUUUAUUUAUAAGAAGCAUAAUUCUAAAAGAAAAACAAUUCUUGAACUGGGAAGAGUCGAAGUUGCCUUUCAUGUGCACAUAGAUACCUCAAGCAACCACUACACUACAACAUACUCCUUCUGUUUUUAAAAGAUGCAUAUUCUAGACUUUUCACAUAUAUUAAAAAAACUCAUUAAAUAUACAUUAUUUUUUGUAAAUAAUAAUUUUUCAUAAUUUUUGGCCAAUAGAAGUUCAAUAAACAGCAUUAAUCUUUUUGAAACUUACAAUUUUUCAUAAACUCAUACAUUGAAAAGGUAAAAAAGGUAUCUUUUUUAAACAAAAUUUUUUUCCAGAACAUACAUCUUUUAGAAACAGAGUGAGUAUUUUACAAAUUAGGGGCCCCAAAAUCUUUAUAUUUUGAAGGGGGCCUGAGGCAAAAGCCUUUUCUGAUACAUACUAGGCACGGCUCUGGAUAUGAAAUGAGAUUGUCAUCAUCUAAACAAAGUGAAGUUAUGAUACUUUAGUUCUUAAUGCAAACAACAUCUAUAGAGAUAUAGAUUAUAUACUAGAUCUCGACCCGCGCAACCGCGCGGAUGUUUGUUUCUAUUUUUUAUAUAUAAAUAUUUUGUUUACAAUUCUAAAUUGAAAUAUAUUAUAAUAUAUAUAAAGUGUGUUUAUCACUUUAUAAAACAUAAUAAUUUUACCAUAUAUGUUUUUUAUUGAAUAAAUUGUUUCAAACUGUCACAUACGUCACUUUUUUUUUUGGAUUGAUAUUUCAUUAUUUAACUCGUAAUUAUAUAUAAAGAUUGGUAAAUAUUUUUUUAUUGUUACCUCGAAAAUAUCGUAAUAUUUCGAAGUAUGAUUCUUAGCAUCGUUAUUUAUAGAUGGUUAAAUAGUUAGGGUAUUGUAGAGAGUAUAUUCUUUGAAAUCUAUAAUUAAUAGACAUUAAAUAGUACGAUAUUAUGUAUUAGUUGUUAUGGAAAAUAUAGUAGAUUUGUUGAGUAGUUAACGGCAAUUAGUGAAAUCUAGCACAUAUGUUUGAUAUAUAUCGUUAGAAUAUUAGAAGUUGCAAGCCUCAAGCAAGAAAUCUAGAAAAAUCGUAUCUAUUGAGAUAUUUUGCUCCUAUAUACUUGAUUUUCAAGUUAAAAGAUAUUACAACUAAUUUGAUUUUAUGAUUAUACUUGCUUUUCGAGAAAAAUAUAUUUUUGACUUUGAUCACAAAUUUUGUAGCUGUUUCAAAACUACCGAUUGGUAUAGGUUUAUUUAGAAGAAAAAAAUGAAUUUUAUCACAAAACUUAUAAAUGGUUUUAAAUCUAGUAUGGGUAAGGAUUAAGAUAUGUAUAAUGUUGGUUUAACUGGUUAACCGACAGUAUAGUCACAUCAAAACCAAAAGAAAAAAAAAAUUUGAAUCAAACCUACGAUUGAUAUGGAUUUAUAAUGAAGAAAAUAUUAAUUUUGAAUUAGAUCACACAACUUGUAAGUGGUUUGAAAAUUAGAAUGGGUAAGGAUUAAGAUAUGUUUAAUGUUGGUAUAAUUGGUUAACCGGUAGUAUAGACACACCAAAGCCAAAAUAUGAAAAUAAUUCUAAUCAAACCAUAUUGCAAACAUCACGUACUUAACCAAAAUAUAAAAGAUAAUUUAAUUUAAAGAUAAAUUAUGGUGGUUUUGUAAACCGUAAUUAAAAGGGUACGGUUUUAGUAUUGCGUGGAUUAGUUAGCCAUAUAGUAAACCAGUUUUAUAUACUAAAUCUAAAAAUAAUUAAUAUAUUUAAAUAGAAAAAUCUAUUUCGGAUAUCUAAAAUAUUUUGGAUCGUGUUUAAUUUCGAUUUAUAAAUACCUCAAAUCUAAACCAGUUUGGAUGUUUAAUAAAAAAAAUCGGGUUCAAUAUUACUUUUUUUUUAUCGGAUUCUGUUUGUUUCUUUGGAUUUGGGUUUUUGUGUCAAAUAUAAAAACUAAUACCAUAAGCUUGAAUGCUUUAAAAAGAAAAGGAAAAGAAAAUGAGGAUUUUAUGGUAACAACAUAAUAAUUUAGUUGCCGUAGGUUUGAUUUAUUAAAAGUAAAUAAGCAUAGAUUGAUUAUGUGAAUUUGAGGAUAACUGAUUUGUGAAUUUAAAAUAAAAUAGAACACGUUUAUGGAUAUGUUUUAAUAGGUAAGAUUUACUUGAUUUAGUUAUGCUCAUCAUUUACUGUUAAAAUAUAUAUUUAAGAUACAUUAUGAGGAUUUUAUGGCUGAUUUAUAAACAAAUAUAAAAUGUUUAUGGCAUAUAAAUCGUUUUGUUUAGGUAUAUUCUUAUACUGUAACAGAUUUUUGUUUUUCAAAAUUGGUGGCUUAGGUUGUAUAUAUAUAUAUAUAUAUAUAUUUAGAAUCGGUUGUAUAGUCAACAUUAUUAUGAACCGGUUAGGUACGAUUGGGUUUUUUUUAAAUGAACUAAUAUGAAUUUAUGAUCAAUAUGAAUCAUGUAUUAGGAAAUCCAACACUUCAAUGUUAUGAUAGACUAAUUUAAAAAAAAAAAACAAAAUUUCAUAUUACAUUGAUUUGAGGUACUUGAGUAACUGGACUGGAAAGUAUUGAAAAACAAAAUUGAAUCCUCAUUCGUUUGUGAUGAACGAUAGAUCCAAAUUAGAGAUCACAACUUCUUAUUUGUUAGAAGUCAUGACACCAUAAGGAGUUCAUUUUAAGAUAACAGAGAUUUUUAAAAAAUUAAAGUGAUUCAUUUUAAUAAUGGUUCUGUAUAUAUUUAUUAGGUGAUUUAAUAUUUCUGUUAUAAUAUUUUCUUAAGGUGAUGAACUAUGGUCAUUAGAGAGCACGACAAGUUCAUAUGUGCUACAUAGUUUUGACAUAGUUAGGAGUUCACUCAUGAUUUGAUGACAUAUUUUAAUUUAUUUUAUGUGAUACUUGUAUCAUUUCAUAAAUUGAGCUGAUAUAUAUGAUAGAGUUGUUAUGAUAUUCGAUUGAUAUUAUAUUAAAUGAUCCAUUAAUGAUUAAAAAAUGUUAUUAAGAAAUAAAUGAAACAUCUAAAGGGUCCAUUUUUUAAAAUAUCACACAUGAAUCAAGGUUGUGACUUCUGUUUUAAUAUCUAACAAUACUAAAAGCACAAUAUACUUAAUGGUAAGGGUGUCCACAUCAGCCAAAUAUUCAGCACCAAUCAAAUUGACACAUCAGAAAAACAAUUGAUUUUUACAACUUUAUUGAAUUAAAUUUUUCUUAUCCCACGAAUCUCUUCGGUUCCUACCUGCAAUUUUACAACGGUUUCUUCCUCAUUUAGUUGCAUUAAUAAAUUCAAUGCUAUGACCUUACGACUCCAUUUUUCAACUCAUUCCCUAUUUGAUAUAAAUAUAGAGUGAUGGCGGUGAAGUUCAAUCCCUAAUCAUAUUUGUUGGGUACUAGCUCCGUACGAAGUUGGUGGGUUCAACGAAAGCUUCACCCUUUCUGAAUAAAUGGCGACUCCUUUAGGCUCACUGCAGGAAAUUGGUU